GCCAGUUUGCAUUUAUGAGCCGCUGCCGUUGCUGCUGCAGGCAUCGGAGAGGUGGGCAGCGUAGGCCUGCUUCCAUCUUCAGGCUGCUGUCCGUCGGAUGACCGUCGUCUUCUCCAUCUAACAAGCCCCUGUUACCGGCCAGGGCCAGGCGAGGAGUACGGGACGUCUGAAAGUGCCGAUGGUUUUUGCUGAGGAUCCAUUUCCUGCUACCGGUGCCGCUGGUGUUGUUGCUGCUGUUGCUGGGUGACAAGCCACUGUUUGCUGGCACGUGAUGAUUGACCAGGUGCCAAGAAGAAGUCAAGUCGCAGGGAAUUGUCAAAGGCCAAAAACACCCUCUGCUGCCGAUGCUGAGGGCAUCGGUGCUGAUGUUGCUGCUGCUGCACAGUGAGUCGUUCAGGAUUUACUGUUCUUAUUGCAUGGCAAGCCUGUUGCCGCCGGCCGAAAGGACGCGCAUUGGUGUCUCCAGUGUCUUCGCCCAGGCCUUCAGCCGGCUCCUGCCAAGCGUUUCAGACGGUCCCUGUGAAAGCCGCUGGUGCGCUGCAUCAUACAGCAGUUGAAUUGGAGUUGUUUUGGACACAGCCAUGCAGACGCCGCUGACCCUGCUGGCGCUGUUGUUGCUGCCGCUGAUGUUAUGCUGUUCCAGUCUCUCCUCAUUCAUCUGGUUCGCAAAGCCCUGACGCUGCGUAUGCGACCCCUGGUGCUGCUUCCCAUGCUUCAGUAACUUCUCCUCCAGCUUAUUGUUGGUGGGCGUGCAUCGGGGGCGGAUCCUCAAGUUUCCGGCGCUUCAGUCUCCACAUCCGGGCUUUCAGAGAGGGCUUUUGUUGUUGCUUUUGCCGGCCUUGCUUCUGCUGAUUGCUGUAGCUGCUGCCAUUGUGGGCUAGACCUGUUUCUGCUGCUGUUGUUGUGUCGUGGAGGGAGGAGCGCUGAUGAGGCGUCAGAUGCAGCAGCAAAUGGAGCCGUGAAAGCAGAAAUACCGCAGGCGCUAAAGCCCCCGGUUGGAAAGGAAGAAUGCGCCGCAGUCCCGCGUCUUCAACAGGAAUACGCCAGUUUGCCACGAGUGAUGAUCCUGCUUGCGGUUCCUUUGCUGCGGCAGUUUCUGCUUUUGGGGCAAACAUACACAGCAUGCUGUUCAAGGCGCUAUUCCGGCCACCGGAUUUACGACGCCCCGCUUCUGCGUAGGCAUACGCUGCCGGAUCCUCCAGUUAAUGGCGCUUCAGACCCCUAAUGCAGGGCUUCCGGAUUGGUGGACGUGGGCGGCAUGUUGUUCUUCACCCUGUCGUGCUUCUGCUCGGUGCCGUUUCUGGCCUUGCCGGGAUUAUUGCUGUCGCAUUAGGACGAAACGCCGGGAAAAUUUGUCGGUCCAGUACAAUUUGCCUGACCCCGAACGAGGAGUCGGGUCGUCGGAGAAUGCCGAAAGGCUUCUGCUACAAAGUCUCUUCCUGCUGUUGCUGACGCUGUAUGCUGUUCCCGCUGCUCGCUAGUGAGUGCAUCGCCGCAUCAAGAUCUCGCUCAGCAUGGGGGAGCUGAUUAGCACGAUGCCGCAUAUAUGCCAUGAUGUGAGCUUCCCAUCUGUGGCUGGAGGGAAAAAAUCGCCGCAGUCCAGCGUCAUCUGCAUGAAGGCGCCGGUUGUCCAGGAAAGAAAUUUAAUCCAAUAGCUAAAGGGAAAAAAAAAAAAAAAAACUAAUCCAUGCUUAUUUCUUUUUUUUUCCAGAGCGAGUCUCCAGGGGCCAAGCGAGGAGUCUGGUCGUCGGAAGUUGCCAGAUGGAAUCUGCUGCGAAACAUUAUGCUGCUGCUGCCAAUAUUGUUGUUGUUGCUGCAUGCUGGACUGCAUGCACCAUUGUUGCUGCAUGGCAAGCAUGUUGCCCCCGGUCAACCAGCUGAGCGUGAUUGAAAUGUUGCUGAUGACGCCGUCUCAUGGCCAAGCAUUGCAGGCAGUCCUCAUAAGCGCGACCGCCGCGUCGGCAUAACACCGCCAAAAGGACCGAUUGCUAAGAUGGACUCGGUCACGCAGGGGGCGCCGACCCUACUGCCGCUGUCGUUGUUGCUUUUGGGGCAAAAGCGCGCCUCACACUAGAGCCCCGCCUCCUCAGGAAGACCGGAUUUGCCAUGCCGGCGUUGGGCUCAGGGUCAUACAGGCCUACAGAAAUGGUGGGUGUGGGCGGCGAAAUGUUCAGCACACCACCAGGCCUCCUCCUCAACUGAUUCUGGUCUUGCUGCUGCUGUUGUUGCUGACUUGGUUGGAGCGCUGGUGUGUCGCCCAAUACGGCAGCAGAUGGAUCCAUAAGGAGCCAAUAAGGCGGAAAGACCGCAGUCGCAAGUCCCUCGGUUGGAAAGUAAAGAUGGAUUUUCAAUAGCGUCAGGAGAAAUGAUUUGAGAACGCAGCUUGUGCCAUGCAGGCAUAAUUAUUUUGUUAACCACAAUCUGCUUGUGUUUUCGUCUAGUGUGAGCGUAUGACUAUUUCUGUUAGCUUGCCCAUAUCUUCUUCUGUGGUUAUCAGGAAUUCUUGGGGAGGGAGUUGAU